ensembl:lncRNA uncharacterized LOC115493887
CUUCUUUACUUUCUAGAAAUGGAAUCUGUUCUCAUUCUUCACAGGAAUGACUACUUCCCCCUCCUAAAAAAAUGGUGGAGGUGGUAACCCAGAGCUUGCUUGGGGUGUGGCUAUCUGUUAAAGGCAUUUCUAUAAAUCAGGACUGAAAGAUUGCAUGCACUGUUUAGAUACCCAAAACACUGGAUAAGCUGCUUCUUUGACUGAAGGAAAACCUUUCUUCUGCUUGAUUUUGAGCAAGGAACUGAUGUCAGAUCUGCCUCUUAUGGAAAUGUGCCAACCACAAAACUCCUGGGUAUGCUGCAAUGAGCCUCAGUCUCUUCUGCAGCAGCCCCACACACUGCAACAGCUGUGAGACUUUGACACAGAUCGUGCCUGUUGGAUGUGAGUGGAGUGUGCUUCCUGCCCUGCCACUUACCACGAUGUUCAAUUCACUCUGAACUCCAGGACCUCCUCUGGGUGUUCUUGUACAAGAGCUAGAGCUUCUGUAUGUGAAGGACACCUUGGAUUUCUAAAAGCAUAACCCUAAGGCAGACAAAAGGACAGAGAAAAUGGGACUUCUAAUAAAAGAGGUAGAAUGAGGAAUACUCAGUACCUCUCUGUACUUGUUUCAUACAGGAGAUCCCAUAAAGAAGAUAAUGCCAUAUGACAGUUUCCCUACACUGAACCUCCUUUUUUGCCUGAAAAACUAUUUUUGUUAAAAAUUUAACUGGAAAGUGGAUUUAUGACUUCUCUUUGGUAUCUUAACCUUGCAUUAAUUGGAAGCUGCUAUAUGGAAUUAUUUGUGUUGAUGUGUUUCUUGUCUUUAUUGCAGAUGCUCUGUGCUUAUCUUGCAUGAGGAGUGGGCAAUUUUUCUUGUACUUUUUCUGAAUUCCUUUGGUGAAAAUAUUAGAAAUUUUGGUAGUACUUAGGGCCUGGAGUAAAUUCCAUAAAAAUCAGGUCUUUGGUUUUAUAUUACUGCUGAAUUUUUAGAUUAUAUACUUUUUCAGAAAACUUGGAAAUUACCCACCUCCCAAGAAACUUCAACUCCCCCCCCUUCUACUAAUUUAUUAUCCAUGGGUAAAUGGCUUCUGAUUUCAGUGUCAUGAGGGAACAAACUCUAGCAGGCUCAAGAGAAGUGGCACAGUGAACUUGCAUCCAGAUGUGAUCAGUGAUUUUCUCUUGUAGCUGAUGACCCUUUCUUUUUCCCUCUAUGAAAAGACUAAAUCAGAAGAGGGUAACAGGGAAUUCAGAGGCUAUUUGAAAUGCUUCUUUCCACAUUUUUCUUCUUCUUGUUCAUGACUUCUGCAUCCUGAAUAGUUUUUAAAGGUGCCCUCAGCUGUUUGUCCUCUGAAUCAUGCAGGCACCAGUGGAAAAAUGCAAGAGUCUGUUACAUACUUUAAGGUAUGAGAUGGGAAAAAGUUGCAGCUUUUUAAAUGGUUGCUGUUUCAGAGCAGUAAGGGAAAUAUAAUUUAAAAUUUCUCAGGCAUUUAUAGAUUCAUAAAACUUCUUGAAAGCUAUGCCUAAAAUUUAGUUAUUCACAAUAUGAUUUUUUUCACACCUGAAUACUUAAGGUAGAGGAAUGUAAUACAAAGUCAUCUGUGUGAAAAUGCUGUGCCACAUGCCUCAUGCAUUUAUAAUGCUUUUAAAUACACAAUAAAUAUUGCUAUUCAAAAUGGGAUUAUUUUAUCAAGACUUAAUGUUUUGGCUGUGAUUUUCUUUGGCCUGGGGUUUGCUCUGGGCAGCCAUUUCAAGCAGAA